rnacentral:lncRNA from 1 species
AUAUUCAUCCAAUGUUUUAUAUUAAAAGUUGGAUCACCCCUGCAGUUAGCGAUCCCACCUCUGCUAGUUUGCGGUUACAGCGAUAGUUUCCCCCCUUCCGAUGAGAGAGAGAAGGGAACAAACCACCUCUCCACUCCGCCGCUGCUUCUCCCCACACCGCGCGCCGGCGAUGCCAUACCCGCGCCCGCUUCCUCCGCCGCUGCACUCCGCGCCCGCGCAGCGCGCCGUCCUCUCAACGCCGUGCGCCAGCGCUGUCCUCCCCGCGCCCGCUCCGCCGCUGCCCUUCCAGCACCACCCCGCUGGCUCUCCCUCGCCGCCUCGCGCCGUUGCCGGAUCCCCGCUGUCAGGGCGCCGUCGAUACAUCAUCUCCGGCCACCGUCGAUCCCUCGCCGUCUGGUCUCCGUCGACCCGCAUCAGCCUAGCGCCGGCACCGGAUCUCCUGCUGUCCGGCCGCGCCGCCACCGCGACUCCUCGCUGCCCCCUUCGCAAACUCAUCUGGAUCACGUCUCCCUCGCUGCUCCUGUCUAA